rnacentral:rRNA from 1 species
CCUACGGGUGGCAGCAGUGGGGGAUAUUGCACAAUGGGGGAAACCCUGAUGCAGCGACGCCGCGUGUGGGACGACGGUCUUCUGGAUUGUAAACCCCUGUCCCCAGGGACGAAAAUGACGGUACCUGGGGAGGAAGCUCCGGCUAACUACGUGCCAGCAGCCGCGGUAAUACGUAGGGAGCAAGCGUUGUCCGGAAUUACUGGGUGUAAAGGGAGCGUAGGCGGGGAUGCAAGUUGGGUGUCAAAACUACCGGCUCAACCGAGAGUCGCACUCAAAACUGCAGCUCUUGAGUGAAGUAGAGGCAGGCGGAAUGCCUAGUGUAGCGGUGAAAUGCGUAGAUAUUAGGAGGAACACCAGUGGCGAAGGCGGCCUGCUGGGCUUUUACUGACGCUGAGGCUCGAAAGUGUGGGGAGCAAACAGGAGUAGAUACCCUAGUAGUC